UACGUAGGUGACCAGCGUUGUCCGGAUUUACUGGGCGUAAAGAGCGCGCAGGCGGUCGUUCAAGUCGAGUGUGAAAGCCCCCGGCUCAACUGGGGAGGGUCAUUCGAUACUGAUCGACUCGAAGGCAGGAGAGGGAAGCGGAAUUCCCGGUGUAGUGGUGAAAUGCGUAGAUAUCGGGAGGAACACCGGUGGCGAAGGCGGCAUCCUGGACCGGCACUGACACUGAGGAGCGAAAGCCAGGGGAGCAAACGGG
rnacentral:rRNA from 1 species